UACGGGAGGCAGCAGUGGGGAAUAUUGCACAAUGGGCGCAAGCCUGAUGCAGCCAUGCCGCGUGUAUGAAGAAGGCCUUCGGGUUGUAAAGUACUUUCAGUCGUGAGGAAGGUGUUAAGGUUAAUAACCUUAGCAAUUGACGUUAGCGACAGAAGAAGCACCGGCUAACUCCGUGCCAGCAGCCGCGGUAAUACGGAGGGUGCGAGCGUUAAUCGGAAUUACUGGGCGUAAAGGGCACGCAGGCGGUUAAUUAAGUUGGAUGUGAAAUCCCCGGGCUUAACCUGGGAAUGGCAUUCAAGACUGGUUAGCUAGAGUCUUGUAGAGGGGGUAGAAUUCCAUGUGUAGCGGUGAAAUGUUCGUAGAGAUGUGGAGGAAUACCGGUGGCGAAGGCGGCCCCUGGACAAAGACUGACGCUCAUGUGCGAAAGCGUGGGGAGCAAACAGGGAUUAGAUACC
rnacentral:rRNA from 1 species